rnacentral:rRNA from 1 species
GUGGGGAAUAUUGGACAAUGGGCGAAAGCCUGAUCCAGCCAUGCCGCGUGUGUGAAGAAGGUCUUCGGAUUGUAAAGCACUUUAAGUUGGGAGGAAGGGCAGUAAGUUAAUACCUUGCUGUUUUGACGUUACCGACAGAAUAAGCACCGGCUAACUUCGUGCCAGCAGCCGCGGUAAUACGAAGGGUGCAAGCGUUAAUCGGAAUUACUGGGCGUAAAGCACGCGGAGGUGGUUUUGUAAGUUGGAGGUGAAAUCCCCGGGCUCAACCUGGGAACUGCCUCCAAAACUGCAUGACUAGAGUACGGUAGAGGGUAGUGGAAUUUCCUGUGUAGCGGUGAAAUGCGUAGAUAUAGGAAGGAACACCAGUGGCGAAGGCGACUACCUGGACUGAUACUGACACUGAGGUGCGAAAGCGUGGGGAGCAAACAGGAUUAGAUACCCUAGUAGUCC